ensembl:lncRNA
UUGGCAGCCGCUCCCCAGGAGGGCUGCGGGGGGCACGGCCGCCCCUCGGCCCCCGGUGCGGGCGAGAUGAAACUGUGUUUUGUUCCGUGCUCUUGGCAUCUCCCCAGCAGCUCUCUCAGCCCCUCGGCCCCCCUCCCGAGCCCGCCGGGACUCCCUUUUUAUCAUCGGCGCAACCCAUGUGCUCGCGGCAGCAACAAAAAAAGGCCCCAAAUACGCCCUAAAACACAAACCGCCCUCGAUCUGCCCCCUCGGAGGCGGUGGCUGCCAUGCUGCCCUCAUGGCGGGCGCGUCGCUUUCGGCUUUUUUUCCCCCUCUUUUUUUUUGUUUCUUGGCCCUUUUUUGCACCGAGCACGAGGCGGGAUGAGGAUCCACGUCCCCAGGCCUUUUGUUUAACCUGCGUCGACGCACAGGAAGGUCCCAGCUUUAUUUCUGCCCCGUUUAUUAUCAUUAUUAUUAUUAUUAUUAUUAUUAUUAUUAUCAUUAUUAUUAUUAUUAUUAUUAUUAUUAUUAUUAUUAUUAUUAUUACUAUUCCCCCCCAUUUCCCCCACCCUGUGCUCAAUUCCCUUUGGGGCCGAAUGGGGCAGAACUCUUCAGAGCGGAUUUUCGGAGCGCCGAGUGCAGGAAUUCCUGCCAGCUCGCCUUUGUGCCAGCCUGCCCCGGCCUUCGGCGUCUCGUUCGGAUGGAGCCUGGCAUCCAGGCACCGCCCAUUUCUUGGCGUUGAGCUGAGAGGAGAAGGAAAGGGGAGAGAGCAAACGAGAGAAGGGAAAAAAAAAAAAAAAAAAAAAAAGCUGUCUCACUCCAACUGGCCUUUCUCGGAAAAGGAUCCUUCCCUGGUGACCGUCCGGAUAAGCGGAGCUAAAAGCAGCCACUGCUCCACAACACAACCACUCUGCCGGCGGUGCGUCCCUCUCGCUGCCUCGGAACCACUGAGCAGUCAGUACCUGGAUAAGGAUCAUCUCAUUGCCCUAGAUGGCAAUGGUCCCAAGCUGUCCUUGAGGCUGAGGUAG